ensembl:ncRNA lncRNA:CR43765 long non-coding RNA:CR43765
GCGAGUAUUUUUACUGGACGGAAUACCACGUUAGACCACGUUUACCACGUAAUUCAAAUAAACCAGUCAAAACUCAACAGUGGAACAACAGUAGUAACAGCAGUACAAGAAUACUCGUAAAACGGUUUACUCUGUGAAAAGUCUCUGCCUGCCGCUGACAUUUAAACUGUCACAUUUUUCGGCGAACCUCGCCAAGCUUGGAUGAAGAACAUGUUGAGUUUUUUUUAGGGUCUAUUUAGGGUAUAUCGAACGGCGGCCCGUACCGAACCGAUUGAGUUAAAGUGUAUCAUAGCAAUACCGGUGCGAUCAACACUUAAUUGUUAACUGAAUGCAGAAGCCAAAUGAGCAAGUUUCACAGAAUAAAAAUUAAAACCAGGUUAGCGCCCCCUGAGC